rnacentral:rRNA from 1 species
GGGCACGAUCAUACCAGCGCUAAUGCACCGGAUCCCAUCAGAACUCCGCAGUUAAGUGUGCUUGGGCGGGAUUAGUACUGGGUUGGGAGACCUCUAGGGAAGUCCUCGUGUUGCAACCC